rnacentral:rRNA from 1 species
CAGUCGCCACGGUAAUACGAAGUGGGCUAGCGUUGUUCGGAUUUACUGGGCGUAAAGGGCGCGUAGGCGGGCUGAUAAGUCAGGGGUGAAAUCCCAAGGCUCAACCUUGGAACUGCCUUUGAUACUGUUUGUCUUGAGUUCGAGAGAGGUAAGUGGAACUGCGAGUGUAGAGGUGAAAUUCGUAGAUAUUCGCAAGAACACCAGUGGCGAAGGCGGCUUACUGGCUCGAAACUGACGCUGAGGCGCGAAAGCGUGGGGAGCAAACAGGAUUAGAUACCCCCGUAGUCCCUGUCUCUUAUAA